UACGAGGGGGGCUAGCGUUGCUCGGAAUCACUGGGCGUAAAGCGCACGUAGGCGGCUUUUUAAGUCAGGGGUGAAAUCCUGGAGCUCAACUCCAGAACUGCCUUUGAUACUGGGAAGCUUGAGUCCGGGAGAGGUGAGUGGAACUCCGAGUGUAGAGGUGAAAUUCGUAGAUAUUCGGAAGAACACCAGUGGCGAAGGCGGCUCACUGGCCCGGUACUGACGCUGAGGUGCGAAAGCGUGGGGAGCAAACAGG
rnacentral:rRNA from 1 species